UGGUAACUAGUUUAACUAAAACAAAUGAUUUCGACUCAUUAAAUUAUGUGCAAGACAUAGUUACCAA
rnacentral:tRNA from 1 species